rnacentral:misc_RNA from 1 species
AUAAUAGAAGACUUGAAUUAAAAUCAACCAUGUUUUCUUACAACUCAAAUUUGAAGGGCUUUGUUUGAUAGCAAGUUUUAGUUUCACUACUUUCAGAAAUUUUGAAGACUUCUAACGGAGUGAAAGUAAUUACACUCUUAUAAAAGACAAUAAGCAUGUUCGAAUGCAACAAUUUUCAGUGAUAAUAAAAACUGCUUUGGU